ACAAGGAGUGGUUGCGAGAUAGGAGGUUUCCCCACUGUGAAAGAUCAUCACGUACUUCCCAAGCUCUGAAUGCGUGAAGAGUGAGGUGCGCGAGGCAUACAUGGGUGGCGGAUGACAUCAUUUUCCACACUGGGGCUCUGCUGCUGCACUCUGAAAGAUUCAUUUCUGAAUGGAGAGACGCUUCGGGUCUCCUGUACCACUCUCAAAGGCCUGAAGGCCAGGAAGACCAGACCAGUCCUCCCAGGGGUCUUCCAGGAUGUCAGGAACGGGGAGGGUAGAGCUUCAGAGGGCUGCAGGUAGAACUGGACCUUCUGCCAGCUCUGAGCAGGUGAUACACUUGGGAUGCAGAAAUGCCACCUGCUCUUGGCCGUCAGCACAGAACCCCACCCACCCACCAGACCACAGAAGGAGGGAACUGGAAUCCAGAUACCUGAGGCGAUCUUGCAAGAAGUCCUCUAAUCUGGAAUGUGGUAUUCAUUUGGAAGCAGAAACUGGUGGUCUGUCUCUUGUUAUACAAGGAUGCUGGAGCUCUGCAUCAAGGUGGCUGAAGAGGCUCUGGAGGGCCAAGGAUGGAAGGUGGCCCCAUGGCACUCAGCCACAGUCUCCAAACCCAACAGGCAAUGAAUUUCCCAGCUACAGCUACAGUCAGCAACACUGAGUCAACAAAGGGACCAGCCUAAUUGUUCUAUGAAAAUUUUGCCUACAAAAAUCUACUUAAGAUAAUGCAUUUGAGGUUUAGACUUGUUAUAGCCUCUAUGAGUACUUUACUCCUAUGGCUGACCAGUGUUCCAUUUUAUUUUUAGACAUACUGCCUUGUGUUUAUUUAUUCAUCCACUGACAUUGACAUCCGAGUGAUGUCCACUUUUUUGAUUACUGUAAAUAGCACUGCUAUAAACAUUGGUGUACGAGUUUUUAUUUGGAAACCUGCUUUCAAUUCUCUUGGGUAUAUACCUAGAAGUACAAUUGCUAUGCAAAGUCAAGGCAGUUAGACACAAAAAACUACAUGUCGUAUGAUUUCAUUUAUGUGAAAUCUCCAGAACAGGCAAAUCCACAGAUACAGAAAACAAAUUUGUGGUCUCCAGGGACUAGAGAUGGGGGAAAUGGGAGUGACUGGAUAAUGGAUACAGAGUUUCCAUUUUGGGUAAUAAAAAAUCAUUCUGUAACUAAUGGUGGUGCUGUACAACAUUGAGAAUGUACACAGUUCUCUGACUUGAAAACUUUAAA
rnacentral:lncRNA from 1 species